GGUUAAGCGACUAAGCGUACACGGUGGAUGCCCUGGCAGUCAGAGGCGAUGAAGGACGUGCUAAUCUGCGAUAAGCGUCGGUGAGGUGAUAUGAACCGUUAUAACCGGCGAUUUCCGAAUGGGGAAACCCAGUGUGUUUCGACACACUAUCAUUAACUGAAUCCAUAGGUUAAUGAGGCGAACCGGGGGAACUGAAACAUCGAAGUACCCCGAGGAAAAGAAAUCAACCGAGAUUCCCCCAGUAGCGGCGAGCGAACGGGGAGGAGCCCAGAGCCUGAAUCAGUGUGUGUGUUAGUGGAAGCGUCUGGAAAGGCGCGCGAUACAGGGUGACAGCCCCGUACACAAAAAUGCACAUAUUGUGAGCUCGAUGAGUAGGGCGGGACACGUGGUAUCCUGUCUGAAUAUGGGGGGACCAUCCUCCAAGGCUAAAUACUCCUGACUGACCGAUAGUGAACCAGUACCGUGAGGGAAAGGCGAAAAGAACCCCGGCGAGGGGAGUGAAAAAGAACCUGAAACCGUGUACGUACAAGCAGUGGGAGCCUCUUUAUGGGGUGACUGCGUACCUUUUGUAUAAUGGGUCAGCGACUUAUAUUCUGUAGCAAGGUUAACCGAAUAGGGGAGCCGAAGGGAAACCGAGUCUUAACUGGGCGUUAAGUUGCAGGGUAUAGACCCGAAACCCGGUGAUCUAGCCAUGGGCAGGUUGAAGGUUGGGUAACACUAACUGGAGGACCGAACCGACUAAUGUUGAAAAAUUAGCGGAUGACUUGUGGCUGGGGGUGAAAGGCCAAUCAAACCGGGAGAUAGCUGGUUCUCCCCGAAAGCUAUUUAGGUAGCGCCUCGUGAAUUCAUCUCCGGGGGUAGAGCACUGUUUCGGCAAGGGGGUCAUCCCGACUUACCAACCCGAUGCAAACUGCGAAUACCGGAGAAUGUUAUCACGGGAGACACACGGCGGGUGCUAACGUCCGUCGUGAAGAGGGAAACAACCCAGACCGCCAGCUAAGGUCCCAAAGUCAUGGUUAAGUGGGAAACGAUGUGGGAAGGCCCAGACAGCCAGGAUGUUGGCUUAGAAGCAGCCAUCAUUUAAAGAAAGCGUAAUAGCUCACUGGUCGAGUCGGCCUGCGCGGAAGAUGUAACGGGGCUAAACCAUGCACCGAAGCUGCGGCAGCGACACUAUGUGUUGUUGGGUAGGGGAGCGUUCUGUAAGCCUGUGAAGGUGGCCUGUGAGGGUUGCUGGAGGUAUCAGAAGUGCGAAUGCUGACAUAAGUAACGAUAAAGCGGGUGAAAAGCCCGCUCGCCGGAAGACCAAGGGUUCCUGUCCAACGUUAAUCGGGGCAGGGUGAGUCGACCCCUAAGGCGAGGCCGAAAGGCGUAGUCGAUGGGAAACAGGUUAAUAUUCCUGUACUUGGUGUUACUGCGAAGGGGGGACGGAGAAGGCUAUGUUGGCCGGGCGACGGUUGUCCCGGUUUAAGCGUGUAGGCUGGUUUUCCAGGCAAAUCCGGAAAACCAAGGCUGAGGCGUGAUGACGAGGCACUACGGUGCUGAAGCGACAAAUGCCCUGCUUCCAGGAAAAGCCUCUAAGCAUCAGGUAACAUCAAAUCGUACCCCAAACCGACACAGGUGGUCAGGUAGAGAAUACCAAGGCGCUUGAGAGAACUCGGGUGAAGGAACUAGGCAAAAUGGUGCCGUAACUUCGGGAGAAGGCACGCUGAUAUGUAGGUGAAGCGACUUGCUCGUGGAGCUGAAAUCAGUCGAAGAUACCAGCUGGCUGCAACUGUUUAUUAAAAACACAGCACUGUGCAAACACGAAAGUGGACGUAUACGGUGUGACGCCUGCCCGGUGCCGGAAGGUUAAUUGAUGGGGUUAGCGGUAACGCGAAGCUCUUGAUCGAAGCCCCGGUAAACGGCGGCCGUAACUAUAACGGUCCUAAGGUAGCGAAAUUCCUUGUCGGGUAAGUUCCGACCUGCACGAAUGGCGUAAUGAUGGCCAGGCUGUCUCCACCCGAGACUCAGUGAAAUUGAACUCGCUGUGAAGAUGCAGUGUACCCGCGGCAAGACGGAAAGACCCCGUGAACCUUUACUAUAGCUUGACACUGAACAUUGAGCCUUGAUGUGUAGGAUAGGUGGGAGGCUUUGAAGUGUGGACGCCAGUCUGCAUGGAGCCGACCUUGAAAUACCACCCUUUAAUGUUUGAUGUUCUAACGUUGGCCCGUAAUCCGGGUUGCGGACAGUGUCUGGUGGGUAGUUUGACUGGGGCGGUCUCCUCCUAAAGAGUAACGGAGGAGCACGAAGGUUGGCUAAUCCUGGUCGGACAUCAGGAGGUUAGUGCAAUGGCAUAAGCCAGCUUGACUGCGAGCGUGACGGCGCGAGCAGGUGCGAAAGCAGGUCAUAGUGAUCCGGUGGUUCUGAAUGGAAGGGCCAUCGCUCAACGGAUAAAAGGUACUCCGGGGAUAACAGGCUGAUACCGCCCAAGAGUUCAUAUCGACGGCGGUGUUUGGCACCUCGAUGUCGGCUCAUCACAUCCUGGGGCUGAAGUAGGUCCCAAGGGUAUGGCUGUUCGCCAUUUAAAGUGGUACGCGAGCUGGGUUUAGAACGUCGUGAGACAGUUCGGUCCCUAUCUGCCGUGGGCGCUGGAGAACUGAGGGGGGCUGCUCCUAGUACGAGAGGACCGGAGUGGACGCAUCACUGGUGUUCGGGUUGUCAUGCCAAUGGCACUGCCCGGUAGCUAAAUGCGGAAGAGAUAAGUGCUGAAAGCAUCUAAGCACGAAACUUGCCCCGAGAUGAGUUCUCCCUGACUCCUUGAGAGUCCUGAAGGAACGUUGAAGACGACGACGUUGAUAGGCCGGGUGUGUAAGCGCAGCGAUGCGUUGAGCUAACCGGUACUAAUGAACCGUGAGGCUUAACCUU
rnacentral:rRNA from 1 species